UUAAUACGUUCAAAUGAAAGAGAGAAACACAGUGGAAGAUUAAGAGUCACGCUUGACACUUCCAAGAAAAGCAGUUCCUUGUUGAUCACGGCUUCCCGGGCAGCAGACACUGCUUCUUACUUCUCGACCUCGCACUGUGGUUCUAACGACUACAAGCUCAGCUUUGGAGCCGGAACCACAGUAACUGUAAGAGCAAUAUCCAGAACCCUGACCCUGCCGUGUACCAGCUGAGAGAC
rnacentral:lncRNA from 1 species